AGAAAUAUGAAAAUUUUUUUGUUUUUUGGUAACAUUUAAUAUCUAAAAUUGUUUUAUGAAACUAUGAUCAUUGCAAGAAAUAAUUCAAUAUUAAUGUGUAAUUAAUUUGUAGUGCAUGAUUAUUUAUACAAAUUUUUAGUAAAAUGAUAUGAAAUUAUUUUAAAAAGUUGAGUAUAUUUUCUUUGCAUCUAAAUCUAUAAUAAAUUGUGACUGUUUUUUAACAAUAACUGUGGCUAUUUUGUGCAUUAAUGAAAUAUUUGUUUUAUUUUUCAUUUGGAAUAUUUGAUAUGUCAACUUUCUGGGGUCUUAUUCAAGCAAUAGUUGAAAUGUAAAAACAAAGGUAGAUGAAACUAGAAGUGUAAUUUUAAGCAUAUUCUCUUUUGUUAUAUUAUACUUUGUAUAAUCAUUUAUUUAGUAUGCUUUGAAUUAUUGCAAAUGCUUGUCUGCGUUCUGCCAAUGUCAAGUAAUUUUCAUGCAAUUCAUUCUUCCCCAUGUUACCUAAAAAUAUGAUUUUUGAAUUUAAAAAUAAAUGUAGAAAUGCUUAUCUUGUAAUAAUAAUAUUUGUCUACAAAUAUUGUAUAAAAUAUAAUGGUUCAUUUGCUCAUUUUUCCUGUACAUAUUGUAUUGAAAUUGAAUUGUACCAUGACAUCGAAGAGCUGAUUAAUUUGUCUGAACCAUGUCUGUUGUGCAAGUUACUGGAACCUGUUCCGAUCCACUAGAAAUUUUGUUUUAUUUUGGAGUAUAUCCAUGCUAUAAGGAUGGAAUUUUUAAAGCACAUAUACCCUUAUUUAAUGUUUAUUUGUGUCUUCCUAAUGAGGAAUAUCCAAAUAGUGGUAUUAUAAAUUGGACUUUCACUGAAUGAAAAAUUUAUUGACAGAUUGGAAUUUAACCAUUUAAAACAAACAAAUAAAAAAGAAAGUUAUGAAUUGUCAAUAAAGUCCCAAUGAAAUUAGAAUGACAUAAAGAGCCUUGUGUAUUUAUAGAUAUUCUUUCACAUAACACUGG
rnacentral:lncRNA from 1 species